rnacentral:rRNA from 1 species
GUGCCAGCAGCCGCGGUAAGACGAACCGUGCGAACGUUGUUCGGAAUCACUGGGCUUAAAGGGCGCGUAGGCGGGCGGUCAAGUCUAUGGUGAAAUCCAACAGCUUAACUGUUGAACUGCCACGGAUACUGAUUGUCUCGAGGAAGGUAGGGGCGUGCGGAACAAAUGGUGGAGCGGUGAAAUGCAUUGAUAUCAUUUGGAACUCCGGUGGCGAAGGCGGCACGCUGGACCUUUUCUGACGCUGAGGCGCGAAAGCCAGGGGAGCAAACGGGAUUAGAAACCCUCGUAGUCC